UUCUACAUCCAGCUUCACUCACGAUGUCGUCAUUCAGAUUCUACGCAGUUGUCGCCCUUGCGUGCGUCUUCCUGGUCAUCCAGACCAGUGCUGAAGCCCCAGCAGAGUUCGACAAGAGCCAGAUUACUGAAGAUACUUUUGCGAGUCUGAGGAGCAAGAGAGAUGCUGGACAGAUCAACGAGGCCGACUUCGACAAAUAUUCCGAGCAUCUCAGGAAGUUGAUGAAGUAGGAAGCGCUCCAUCACACCACAGCUGGACUAACGGAGAAGCAACAAAAAUAAACAUUAAUUUAAUGUGA
rnacentral:lncRNA from 1 species